rnacentral:misc_RNA from 1 species
AAAAAAUCCGCCAACAGCAAGGCAGUCCACAAGCCACUGCCCACUGCCCUUCCAGCUAACCAAUGCCAGUAUUAUGCUUCUCCCUUCCCUUAAAUAUUCUUUUUCCUUUCUAGCAAUUUUUCUUUAAUCAACAAAUUACUAUAAAAAAAUAUAUAUUUAUUUCGUCGAGUGCUGAGACCACAAAGGUAAACUUUAAUAUAUUUGCCUCAACCCCAAAAAACUGGUACAAAACAACGCUGUCUCUCUCUAUCUCUCUGCCUGCUUUAUCUUACUUUCAUUCAAUGCCCUUCAGCCGUUCCUAAAAGUCACCCGAAGUUUCAGUAUAAACCCUGAAAUUCCUUUAUACAUUUUCCCUUAUCUCACUCUCUCCGUCUCUUGAUCCACUCUUGAUUGUUCGGAUGGACGGGUACGGUCAAAGGUCUUACGGUGGUGAUCGGAGAUUCGAGAUUGUAAGUGGCAAGAGUUUCGCGGCUGCCAACCAGAUCUACUCGACGCCCGAUCCGCCACCGGUUCCGGCUCGCGCGACCAGGCAGAGUCGGACCACGUCAACGCCCUGGAGUUUUAGCGAUCCUGAGAUGAAGCGGAAGAAGAGGAUUGCCAAGUACAAG